rnacentral:miRNA from 1 species
AAGCUUUUGGCCCAGAUUAUAC